rnacentral:rRNA from 1 species
GAUGAACGCUAGCUACAGGCUUAACACAUGCAAGUCGAGGGGCAGCAUUAUCGAAGCUUGCUUUGAUAGAUGGCGACCGGCGCACGGGUGAGUAACGCGUAUCCAACCUUCCCCAUAGUCAGGAAUAGCCCGGCGAAAGUCGAAUUAAUGCCUGAUGUUUUCCACGGACGGCAUCUGAUGUGGAACAAAGAUUCAUCGCUAUGGGAUGGGGAUGCGUCUGAUUAGCUUGUUGGCGGGUAACGGCCCACCAAGGCAACGAUCAGUAGGGGUUCUGAGAGGAAGGUCCCCCCACAUUGGAACUGAGACACGGUCCAAAACUCCUACGGGGAGGCAGCAGUGAGGAAUAUUCGGUCAAUGGGCGGAAGCCUGAACCAGCCAAGUAGCGUGAGGGAUGACUGCCCUAUGGGUUGUAAAACCUCUUUUAUAAGGGAAUAAAAUACGGGACGUGUCCUGUUUUGCAUGUACCUUAUGAAUAAGGACCGGCUAAUUCCGUGCCAGCAGCC